AUGGGCAAAGGCACUUCCAUCUGCUCUGAGCUGUAUUUUAGGAGCCGCAAACUGGAUCUUUCGAGAGAAAAGGAACACAUUCAGUCAGUCUCUCCCGGAGUGUCUCGAGGUGAGUCCAGCAGGAAUCCGUGGGCAAGCUGUGUGGGUUCUUCCCACUUAGCCUUACAAGGUCAGCUUGGCCUCUCACCCUCCGGCUGCUUCCCAAGGCUGAGCAACACCGGGGAGCUUCGAGGAGCCAGGUGGAGCCACAGCCCGGAGCUCAUUAGUGACGCUGUGCGAGCCCAAGCCAGAGGUGUCCUGCCCAAGGCGGCAGGCCCGAUACACAGGCAGUGGGUCAGUGCUGGCACCGUGACUCCCCGGGACUCGGUACUGUGGAGAAAGGCAGGAGAGGGCUUCCCCAGCGGCAGCGACUGCAGUGCCCUGACGGGGUCGUCCACCCACCCGUGCUCCCGCCAGCUGGAGUGUUGGGGCCAGGUUCAGGCUUCUUCUCUUGCCUGUGGAAAAGCCACUUCUUCACCUCUGGGACUCAGUUUUCUUAUUUGUGAAACAAAAUUCAUGCUAACGCUUGCAAUGUGUCUCAAGUUGUACGAUUCUUACCUUUUAUGUCCCUCCAUUUCACCAUUUUCCUGUUCUUUAGGACGGACCUGCUGUUUAUCAACAUGCCUCUGUGGAAGCUCCCAGAGAUCUCCUCAGGGUUUUACUGUGGUCUUGCCCUCCGAGGCUUAGGGCCUUUCUGGGGAUCCGGACAUUCUGUAGUGAAGAUGCUGGAUUGGCCAAAUCCUGUGAGGCGCCGUGGAAAAGUAAGAUCCUCCAUUUCCUGGACAAGGUGAGGUGCUGGGAAGCAGGCCACAGAACUUGCCUGAGUCUGCAGGGCCAACUUCUGAGGCAUUUGCUUUUACCUCACUCACUCUACAUCCUCCAUCUACUCAUGUGUCCACCGGUUCCUACCAAAAUCCCACUCUAUGGACAAAUUCCUUGUCUGCACCCCAUGUGGAUUCUUGCUGGCUUGGGUUAAUGUGUUAAUUCUUCCAUUUUCUAGCCAGGUGGCCUAGUGCACUUACCUAAGUGCAAAAACUGAUUGCCUACUCCCCAAAAGAAUAUCUAUUUUUUAACUUACAUGAUUGCUGUGAGAAUUCAUUAAGAUGAAAUGUGGAAAAUGUUGAAUUUGAAUUUGAAAAGGAAUGAGAGAUUACCUCCCCCUUUCUCUGUUCUUCUUAGCUUUCCCUCUGAAUUUAAAUGUGUUUUUAUUUUUUACGGAUUCUCAUUCUAUUCUUAUCGAUUGAAAUAAAAGCCUUUAACCUAUUUCCUGAAAUUGUGUAUGCAGAAUCUAUUGGAAAAUCUUAAAGAAGCAAGUUAUCUGCUGGAAGUGGUGGCUGCACCUGUAAUCCCAGCACUUUGAGAGGUGGAGAUGGGAAGCUCACAAGUUUGAACCCAGCCUGGGCCACUCAGCAACUUAGUUAGACAUGGUCUCAAAAAUUAAGGGUUGAGGAUGUAGCUCAGUGCAGAGGCCCUGAGUUCAACGCCUCCACAAAAAGCAAGUCAUCAUCCAUUGAAUUCCCAUAGAUCUGUCAACCUGGAAUGUGUAGCAUUCUG
rnacentral:lncRNA from 1 species